AUUGAACGCUGGCGGCAGGCUUAACACAUGCAAGUCGAGCGGGGUGAUGGUGCUUGCACUAUCACUUAGCGGCGGACGGGUGAGUAAUGCUUAGGAAUCUGCCUAUUAGUGGGGGACAACAUCUCGAAAGGGAUGCUAAUACCGCAUACGUCCUACGGGAGAAGGCAGGGGAUCACUUGUGACCUUGCGCUAAUAGAUGAGCCUAAGUCGGAUUAACUAGUUGGUGGGGUAAAGGCCUACCAAGGCGACGAUCUGUAGCGGGUCUGAGAGGAUGAUCCGCCACACUGGGACUGAGACACGGCCCAGACUCCUACGGGAGGCAGCAGUGGGGAAUAUUGGACAAUGGGGGGAACCCUGAUCCAGCCAUGCCGCGUGUGUGAAGAAGGCCUUAUGGUUGUAAAGCACUUUAAGCGAGGAGGAGGCUCUUUUGGUUAAUACCCAAGAUGAGUGGACGUUACUCGCAGAAUAAGCACCGGCUAACUCUGUGCCAGCAGCCGCCGUAA
rnacentral:rRNA from 1 species